rnacentral:lncRNA from 1 species
CACACUCGCGCCCUGUCACCCUCUUGCACCCUUCAUCUAUUCUAGCUUCCUGACUUGGCCGUUGGAGGAUCUUCGCCGGAGCCUACUCUGGCCAAGACUUAUUUUUCAUGUCUCGCCGCAUCUACAAUUCCCAGUCGACUCCAGCCACUCCGAUCGAAGCCAGAAAUCUGCAACAAUAGUUGUUAGUAUAUGUAUUAUUAAAUAGUAGAAAGAUAACUUACUUAGGGUUAUUUUUAAAAUUGAAAAAAAUGAAAAAACUAAAACAUUUUUAUAUAGUCUAAGGAUGAGAAUAUCCACAUACACAAAAAUGACAAAUGGAGGUUAUAUAUUAGCGGUGGCAAGUGGUCAUAUAUUGGUUGAGUCAAUCAAUACUCAUACCUAUCCUGCUAGAAAAAAAAUAUAUGUAUAUCUGCCUAGUACCCAUCAAGUCUUGGAUCAGAUCGGAUAUAUCUGAAUUAGUCUCUUUCUCCAUUUCCUAUCUCCACCACCACCCCACCACCAUCCGUUGUUCCAUCCCCAAACCCACAAAAUAUCAUACCUCCACCAAGAUUAAGCUCUCAAAAGCUCAAGGGACCAACUCACACCGCCACAACUCGCAUAAAAUCCCAUAUGCUCCAGAAAAAAACCCCAAUCGGAAUCUAAAAUCUCCUCUGAUCUCCCUCAGGUGCUUUCCUUCCCCAUAGAUCUCUGAAAAAGAGAAUGAAAUUAAAAGAAA